rnacentral:rRNA from 1 species
UAAAGGCCCGUCAAAGGACCCUAAACUCUAUUUUGACUUGGUAUCUCUGAGUAAAUCAACUUAAUAAGUUAAAACUUUCAACAACGGAUCUCUUGGUUCUGGCAUCGAUGAAGAACGCAGCGAAAUGCGAUAAGUAAUGUGAAUUGCAGAAUUCAGUGAAUCAUCGAAUCUUUGAACGCACAUUGCGCCCAUUAGUAUUCUAGUGGGCAUGCCUAUUCGAGCGUCAUUUCAACCCCUUAAGCCCUGUUGCUUAGCGUUGGGGGCCUGCGCCUGGCGGCGUAGCCCCUGAAAGAUAGUGGCGGAGUCAGUGAGCACUCUGAGCGUAGUAACUUUUCUCGCUCUGGUAGCUUGCCCCUGGCUGCUGGCCGUUAAACCCCCCCAUAUCUUCUAGCGGUUGACCUCGGAUUAGGUAGGAAUACCCGCUGAACUUAAGCAUAUCAAUAAGGG